AUACGUAGGGUGCGAGCGUUGUCCGGAAUUACUGGGCGUAAAGGGCGCGUAGGCGGCCUGUUAAGUCUGGAGUGAAAGUCCUGUUUUCAAGAUGGGAAUUGCUUUGGAUACUGAUGGGCUUGAGUGCAGGAGAGGUUAUCGGAAUUCCCGGUGUAGCGGUGAAAUGCGUAGAGAUCGGGAGGAACACCAGUGGCGAAGGCGGGUAACUGGACUGCAACUGACGCUGAGGCGCGAAAGUGUGGGGAGCAAACAGGAUUAGAUACCCUGGUAGUCCACACUGUAAACGAUGAAUGCUAGGUGUAAGAGGUAUCGACCCCUUUUGUGCCGGAGUUAACACAAUAAGCAUUCCGCCUGGGGAGUACGGCCGCAAGGUUGAAACUCAAAUGAAUUGACGGGG
rnacentral:rRNA from 1 species